UGGGGGAUAUUGCACAAUGGGCGAAAGCCUGAUGCAGCGACGCCGCGUGGGGGAUGAAGGCCUUCGGGUUGUAAACUUCUUUUGCUCUGAACAAGGCGCACCAUGGGGUGUGUUGAGUGUAGGGGUUGAUUAGCGCCGGCUAACUACGUGCCAGCAGCCGCGGUAAUACGUAGGGCGCGAGCGUUGACCGGAAUUAUUGGGCGUAAAGGGCUUGUAGGUGGCUGGUUGCGUCUGUCGUGAAAGCUCAUGGCUUAACUGUGGGUUUGCGGUGGGUACGGGCUGGCUUGAGUGCAGUAGGGGAGGCUGGAAUUCCUGGUGUAGCGGUGGAAUGCGCAGAUAUCAGGAGGAACACCGGUGGCGAAGGCGGGUCUCUGGGCUGUUACUGACACUGAGGAGCGAAAGCAUGGGGAGCGAACAGG
rnacentral:rRNA from 1 species